GAGGAAUAAGCAUCGGCUAACUCCGUGCCAGCAGCCGCGGUAAUACGGGGGAUGCAAGCGUUAUCCGGAAUCAUUGGGCGUAAAGCGCCUGUAGGUUGUUUAAUAAGUCUGUUGUUAAAGACUAGGGCUUAACCCUAGAAAAGCAAUGGAAACUACUAGACUAGAGUAUGGCAGGGGUAGAGGGAAUUUCUAGUGUAGCGGUGAAAUGCGUAGAUAUUAGAAAGAACACCGGUGGCGAAAGCGCUCUACUGGACCAUUACUGACACUCAGAGGCGAAAGCUAGGGUAGCAAAAGGGAUUAGAUACCCCUGUAGUCCUAGCCGUAAACAAUGGAUACUAGAUGUUGUGUAUUAUAUACAGUAUCGUAGCUAACGCGUUAAGUAUCCCGCCUGGGGAGUACGCUCGCAAGGGUGAAACUCAAAGGAAUUGACGGGGGCCCGCACAAGCGGUGGAGCAUGUGGUUUAAUUCGAUGCAACGCGAAGAACCUUACCAGGACUUGACAUACUACAAAUUCUUUUGAGAAAAAGAAGUGCCUUCGGGAAUGUAGAUACAGGUGGUGCAUGGCUGUCGUCAGCUCGUGUCGUGAGAUGUUGGGUUAAGUCCCGCAACGAGCGCAACCCUUAUUUUUAGUUACCAAUUCGUUGGGUUCUCUGGAAAGACUGCCGGUGACAAACCGGAGGAAGGUGAGGAUGACGUCAAGUCAGCAUGCCCCUUAUGUCCUGGGCUACACACGUGCUACAAUGGUUAAGACAAAGAGUCGCGAGCUCGCAAGGGUCAGCUAAUCUCAUAAACUUAGCCUAAGUUCAGAUUGUAGGCUGCAACUCGCCUGCAUGAAG
rnacentral:rRNA from 1 species